AUUCUGUAGCAAGGUUAACCGAAUAGGGGAGCCGAAGGGAAACCGAGUCUUAACUGGGCGUUAAGUUGCAGGGUAUAGACCCGAAACCCGGUGAUCUAGCCAUGGGCAGGUUGAAGGUUGGGUAACACUAACUGGAGGACCGAACCGACUAAUGUUGAAAAAUUAGCGGAUGACUUGUGGCUGGGGGUGAAAGGCCAAUCAAACCGGGAGAUAGCUGGUUCUCCCCGAAAGCUAUUUAGGUAGCGCCUCGUGAAUUCAUCUCCGGGGGUAGAGCACUGUUUCGGCAAGGGGGUCAUCCCGACUUACCAACCCGAUGCAAACUGCGAAUACCGGAGAAUGUUAUCACGGGAGACACACGGCGGGUGCUAACGUCCGUCGUGAAGAGGGAAACAACCCAGACCGCCAGCUAAGGUCCCAAAGUCAUGGUUAAGUGGGAAACGAUGUGGGAAGGCCCAGACAGCCAGGAUGUUGGCUUAGAAGCAGCCAUCAUUUAAAGAAAGCGUAAUAGCUCACUGGUCGAGUCGGCCUGCGCGGAAGAUGUAACGGGGCUAAACCAUGCACCGAAGCUGCGGCAGCGACACUGUGUGUUGUUGGGUAGGGGAGCGUUCUGUAAGCCUGUGAAGGUGUGCUGUGAGGCAUGCUGGAGGUAUCAGAAGUGCGAAUGCUGACAUAAGUAACGAUAAAGCGGGUGAAAAGCCCGCUCGCCGGAAGACCAAGGGUUCCUGUCCAACGUUAAUCGGGGCAGGGUGAGUCGACCCCUAAGGCGAGGCCGAAAGGCGUAGUCGAUGGGAAACAGGUUAAUAUUCCUGUACUUGGUGUUACUGCGAAGGGGGGACGGAGAAGGCUAUGUUGGCCGGGCGACGGUUGUCCCGGUUUAAGCGUGUAGGCUGGUUUUCCAGGCAAAUCCGGAAAAUCAAGGCUGAGGCGUGAUGACGAGGCACUACGGUGCUGAAGCAACAAAUGCCCUGCUUCCAGGAAAAGCCUCUAAGCAUCAGGUAACAUCAAAUCGUACCCCAAACCGACACAGGUGGUCAGGUAGAGAAUACCAAGGCGCUUGAGAGAACUCGGGUGAAGGAACUAGGCAAAAUGGUGCCGUAACUUCGGGAGAAGGCACGCUGAUAUGUAGGUGAAGUCCCUCGCGGAUGGAGCUGAAAUCAGUCGAAGAUACCAGCUGGCUGCAACUGUUUAUUAAAAACACAGCACUGUGCAAACACGAAAGUGGACGUAUACGGUGUGACGCCUGCCCGGUGCCGGAAGGUUAAUUGAUGGGGUCAGCGCAAGCGAAGCUCUUGAUCGAAGCCCCGGUAAACGGCGGCCGUAACUAUAACGGUCCUAAGGUAGCGAAAUUCCUUGUCGGGUAAGUUCCGACCUGCACGAAUGGCGUAAUGAUGGCCAGGCUGUCUCCACCCGAGACUCAGUGAAAUUGAACUCGCUGUGAAGAUGCAGUGUACCCGCGGCAAGACGGAAAGACCCCGUGAACCUUUACUAUAGCUUGACACUGAACAUUGAGCCUUGAUGUGUAGGAUAGGUGGGAGGCUUUGAAGUGUGGACGCCAGUCUGCAUGGAGCCGACCUUGAAAUACCACCCUUUAAUGUUUGAUGUUCUAACGUGGACCCGUGAUCCGGGUUGCGGACAGUGUCUGGUGGGUAGUUUGACUGGGGCGGUCUCCUCCUAAAGAGUAACGGAGGAGCACGAAGGUUGGCUAAUCCUGGUCGGACAUCAGGAGGUUAGUGCAAUGGCAUAAGCCAGCUUGACUGCGAGCGUGACGGCGCGAGCAGGUGCGAAAGCAGGUCAUAGUGAUCCGGUGGUUCUGAAUGGAAGGGCCAUCGCUCAACGGAUAAAAGGUACUCCGGGGAUAACAGGCUGAUACCGCCCAAGAGUUCAUAUCGACGGCGGUGUUUGGCACCUCGAUGUCGGCUCAUCACAUCCUGGGGCUGAAGUAGGUCCCAAGGGUAUGGCUGUUCGCCAUUUAAAGUGGUACGCGAGCUGGGUUUAGAACGUCGUGAGACAGUUCGGUCCCUAUCUGCCGUGGGCGCUGGAGAACUGAGGGGGGCUGCUCCUAGUACGAGAGGACCGGAGUGGACGCAUCACUGGUGUUCGGGUUGUCAUGCCAAUGGCACUGCCCGGUAGCUAAAUGCGGAAGAGAUAAGUGCUGAAAGCAUCUAAGCACGAAACUUGCCCCGAGAUGAGUUCUCCCUGACCCUUUAAGGGUCCUGAAGGAACGUUGAAGACGACGACGUUGAUAGGCCGGGUGUGUAAGCGCAGCGAUGCGUUGAGCUAACCGGUACUAAUGAACCGUGAGGCUUAACCUUACAACGCCGAAGGUGUUU
rnacentral:rRNA from 1 species